GGGAGGCAGCAGUGGGGAAUUUUGGACAAUGGGCGCAAGCCUGAUCCAGCCAUCCAGCGUGAGUAAAGAAGGCCUUCGGGUUGUAAAGCUCUUUCGCAACGGAAGAAAACUUACAUUCUAAUAAAGUGUGAGGCUAACGGGGCCCCGAUAAAAAGCACCGGCUAAAUAUGUGCCAGCACCCCCGGUAAAAUGUAGGGGGCGAGAGUUAAUCGGAAUUACUGGGGGUAAAGAGUGCGCAGAGGGUUUUGUAAGACACAUGUGAAAUCCCCGAGCUCAACUUGGGAAAUGCGUUUUUGACUACAAGACUAGAAUAUGUCAGAGGGGGGUAGAAUUCCACGUGUAGCAGUGAAAUGCGUAUAGAUGUGGAGGAAUACCCAUGUGGAAGACAGCCCCCUGGGAUAAUAUUCACGCUCAUGCGCGAAAGAGUGGGGAGCACACACGAUUAUAUACCCCGGAGAGACGCGGGAACAUUGCUUUCUGGAGGGAAAAACCAUUUGACCAUUCCUUCUGCCUUAA
rnacentral:rRNA from 1 species